GAUGAACGCUGGCGGCGUGCCUAAUACAUGCAAGUCGAGCGAAGCGGGGACGGGUGAGUCACACGUGGAUAACCUCCUUUAAGGCUGGGAUAACUUCGGGGAACCGGAGCCAAACCCGAUACUUAUAGAUGGAUCCGCGCUGCAUUAGCUAGUUGGUAAGGGAACGGCUGACCAAGGCAACGAUGCAUAGCCGACCAGAGAGGGUGAUCGGUCACACUGGAACUGAGACACGGUCCAGACUCCUACGGGAGGCAGCAGUGGGGAAUAUUGCGCAAUGGGCGAAAGCCUGACGGAGCAACGCCGCGUGAGUGAUGAAGGUCUUCGGAUCGUAAAGCUCUGUUAUUAGGGAAGCGGUACCUAAUCAAAAAGCCACGGCUAACUACGUGCCAGCAGCCGCGGUAAUUC
rnacentral:rRNA from 1 species